AUAAUUUUAUAUUAUUUUUCAUAGCUGCACAGAAUGGAACUUCUUUUUUUCAUGGACUCCUGACAGUGACGCCAUGCCCCUGGACCUCAUCAUCCAUCUGCCGCCAUCUGUUGGUUUGUUGUUGUUGGCAAUUGCUUGGAUUAACUGUGAGGAAAUAUCCAUAUGUUCCUGUGGUCAUUAAGACAGGUUCUUCCACUCUGAAAAAUUUCCAUACUGUUCUAACACCAAGAGCCACUCUCGGUGUAGCUGGAAGAGGUUUGAAAGGCUACUGAGGCCAGCUAUCCUCCAGUGCCCUUCCAGGAAACCCAAGGAAGACUGGGGAAUCAGAGCCAUCUCCAUCCUCUGGCGCCUCUGCACUACCUUUUCACUACGUUGGGAAUAAAUCAAAGCAUACGCAAUCUUGACUCGAAUCU
rnacentral:lncRNA from 1 species